ensembl:lncRNA
GGGUUUUUGCUGCUGUGUGUGGGUUCUCUCUAGUUUCUGUGAGUGGGGACUACUCUCUAAUGGUGGUGCUCCUCUUCUCGUUGCAGAGGCGUCUCUUGUUGCGGAGCAUGGGCUCUAGGGCACAGGUUCAGUAGUGCUGUGCAUGGGCUUCUUUGCUCCCUGGCAUGUGGGAUCUUCUCAGACCAGGGAUCUAAACCCAUGUGCCCUGCAUUGCAAGGUAGAUUCUCAACCACUGGACUACCAGGGAAGCCCAGGAGAAGGGUUCUUGAGGAGGCAGAUCCAGGGCCACGGAAGGCAGAAUGGGGAGUGAUGUGUUUCACCCUCAAAGAGAACCCAUCAAAAAAAGCCCUACUAUGGCACCAGACCAGGACCACCUCCCAAGAAGGCAGCAGGACCGAGGACGCCGGGUACACAGCACACUCAGAGCUGUCUCCUGAUCUGCUUACCCCUGUCUGGGGGAUGCUCAGCACCUCCUGCUUCCUGUCAACUCCAGCCUGAGGAUGCUAGCGGCCCUCAGUGGUCAGGACUUGCACCACUGCGGGCUCAGGCCUGACCUCCCCAACCCGGAAGCGAAUCCCCAACCCGGAAGCGAAUCCCCAACCCCCACCUUCAUCCCCUUUGUUACUUUACCUUCAUCAGGUGGUUGGCUCACCUCAUAAAAUAUCCAGUUAAAUUUGGAUUUCAAACAAACUAAGAAUCCUUUUUUUAGUAUAAGUGUGUCCCAUGCAGCGUGUGUGUGCUUAUUUGUAACCCUGGCAACCCUGCUCAAAGAGCAUAGUGACUCUGGUCUCGCUCAGCCAACUUAAAAGGCCUGCAAACAGCUUGCCCUGACUACUGGCCUGUGCUUUUUCCCCAUUUCCCCAGCACCGUUCAACACAGAGAAAGAUUAUUAUAUUUUAACUUAACAAAGUGUUAUAUUUGGCGGGGGGCGGGGGGGUGGUGGGCGGAAAUAGAAUUAAGAGAAAUGUCUGGUUGAUUAUCUUGCUCCUUUAUUCCUGGCAGUAGACAUAAAGACCACUUGGACCAGGAGCUGUAGCUCAGCGGGCAUCCUUCUGAUGGAGAUCUGUGAUGUGUCUCCUGUGUGCUGGGUGUGGCCAUCCUUUCCCCAGACAGCGGCCCUCACGACCAGGUGGAAGCCAGCGGUCGGCGCAGCCUGGACCAGUGCAGUGAAAACAAAAGCACUGGGGGCCAGCACCACGGGACCUUUGGUCACUCAGGAUCUCCUCCUUUCUGGGGAAGCAAUGUUCCCCAACCUUGGAGGAGCUGGUCAGGAUUAUUAUUAAACCAGAUGCUUUGGAGAACUGGACCAAAUGAAUCUGGGAAAGUCUAUUCCUUUGGUAAAUCUGCCAGACUACCUUCCAUCACCUUAGACUAAUUGGUUUGAUUCUCAGGAAGCAUGCCUUUUUAAAGGGGCAUCAUUGGACAGGACAGGAUGGCAAAGUUGUACUUUUUUGCCUAAAGCUGGCAUCUUGCUCCUCCUUUCCCCUUAAACUCCACC